rnacentral:tRNA from 1 species
GGAGAGGUGCCAGAGCGGCCGAAUGGGACGCCCUGCUAAGGCGUUGACUGCGCAAGCGGUCCGUGGGUUCAAAUCCCACCCUCUCCGCCA